rnacentral:rRNA from 1 species
UACGUAGGGGGCAAGCGUUGUCCGGAUUUAUUGGGCGUAAAGAGCGUGUAGGCGGCUAGGUAGGUCCGUUGUGAAAACUCGAGGCUCAACCUCGAGACGUCGAUGGAAACCAUCUAGCUAGAGUCCGGAAGAGGAGAGUGGAAUUCCUGGUGUAGCGGUGAAAUGCGCAGAUAUCAGGAAGAACACCCGUGGCGAAGGCGGCUCUCUGGUACGUGACUGACGCUGAGACGCGAAAGCGUGGGGGAGCAAACAGG